rnacentral:rRNA from 1 species
GACCCCAGGUCAGGCGGUGCAA